rnacentral:rRNA from 1 species
CAGUAGCCGCGGUAAUACAGAGGGUGCAAGCGUUAAUCGGAAUUACUGGGCGUAAAGCGCGCGUAGGUGGUUUGUUAAGUUGGAUGUGAAAUCCCCGGGCUCAACCUGGGAACUGCAUCCAAAACUGGCAAGCUAGAGUAGGGCAGAGGGUGGUGGAAUUUCCUGUGUAGCGGUGAAAUGCGUAGAUAUAGGAAGGAACACCAGUGGCGAAGGCGACCACCUGGGCUCAUACUGACACUGAGGUGCGAAAGCGUGGGGAGCAAACAGGAUUAGAUACCCCUGUAGUCCCUGUCUCUUAUAC